rnacentral:misc_RNA from 1 species
CCCCACACACUCAAGUAUCCUUUAUUUGGGAUUCUUGGAAUGAUUUGGAGAGGUGUCUCAUCAUAGAGAUGCCCUCCAGAAAUUCAUAGGCAGUAUGGUUUGCACCGGAACCAGACGUAAUAAUAAUAAAAUCGUUUGUUUGGGAAUAAUUGUGCUUGCCUUAACCCACCCAUUUCUCUCAUUU